CUGCCGGCCAUUUAGUAUUUGAUAAACCGUGACCGGCUGCCGGUCAUAUAGUCACUUCGAUUCAAAUACUUGGACUUGGUUCCUUGUUCGGAGAAUUGAUUUAAUGUGACGAAUUUACCUACCGAAAGUAUAGAGUACGUUGUAACAAUAAUGGUUAUGCUUUUGUUCACUUUAUUCUUCUCAAAUAGUGCCAUGUGUAAACGCUUCGUUUAUACCUCCAGUUACUUGGAGACCGGUUGGAUUCCGGCUUUACAGUCAACUCGGCCCACUAACCAACUCGGCCCACUAACCAACUCGGCCCACCGUUCAAGGACCAACUCUGCCCGCUUGUAAACUGACUAAUCUAACCACCAAACAAGCUAGGAGCCAUGACUGUGUUCUAUCUUUGGAAAUUUUGAGAGAGAUUUGAAUGGUCAGUAAUUUAGUAUCAAAACGGACAGAUCAAAAAUUUGAAACUUCGAUAGAUUCUUUAAUUAAAUUAAGUCAAACUGGAUGUUCUCAAACUUUACUCAUCUGUAUGCCUAAUGCAACUGCAAAUGGCUGUAUUGGUUUGGUGCUAUCUUUUGUGAAAUAUUAGCUUUCCUAAUAUGUCAAACAGUAGUUAACAAUUAGGCCAACAGUGGGCCGAGUUGACCAGCUUCCGGAUUCCGAAC